rnacentral:rRNA from 1 species
AGGCUUAACACAUGCAAGUCGAGGGGCAGCAUGGUCUUAGCUUGCUAAGGCCGAUGGCGACCGGCGCACGGGUGAGUAACGCGUAUCCAACCUGCCUUACACUCUUGGACAGCCUUCUGAAAGGGAGAUUAAUACAAGAUGUUAUCAUGAGUAAGCAUUUUCGCAUGAUUAAAGGUUUACCGGUGUAAGAUGGGGAUGCGUUCCAUUAGAUAGUAGGCGGGGUAACGGCCCACCUAGUCUUCGAUGGAUAGGGGUUCUGAGAGGAAGGUCCCCCACAUUGGAACUGAGGCACGGUCCAAACUCCUACGGGAGGCAGCAGUGAGGAAUAUUGGUCAAUGGACGAGAGUCUGAACCAGCCAAGUAGCGUGAAGGAUGAAGGUUCUAUGGAUUGUAAACUUCUUUUAUACGGGAAUAAACGAAUCCACGUGUGGAUUUUUGCAUGUACCGUAUGAAUAAGGAUCGGCUAACUCCGUGCCAGCAGCCGCGGUAAUACGGAGGAUCCGAGCGUUAUCCGGAUUUAUUGGGUUUAAAGGGAGCGUAGAUGGGUUGUUAAGUCAGUUGUGAAAGUUUGCGGCUCAACCGUAAAAUUGCAAUUGAUACUGGCAGUCUUGAGUACAGUUGAGGUAGGCGGAAUUCGUGGUGUAGCGGUGAAAUGCUUAGAUAUCACGAAGAACUCCGAUUGCGAAGGCAGCUUACUAACCUGUAACUGACAUUGAUGCUCGAAAGUGUGGGUAUCAAACAGGAUUAGAUACCCUGGUAGUCCACACGGUAAACGAUGAAUACUCGCUGUAGGCGAUAUACAGUCUGCGGCCAAGCGAAAGCAUUAAGUAUUCCACCUGGGGAGUACGCCGGCAACGGUGAAACUCAAAGGAAUUGACGGGGGCCCGCACAAGCGGAGGAACAUGUGGUUUAAUUCGAUGAUACGCGAGGAACCUUACCCGGGCUUAAAUUGCAACCGAAUAUGGCGGAAACGCUAUAGCUAGCAAUAGCGGUUGUGAAGGUGCUGCAUGGUUGUCGUCAGCUCGUGCCGUGAGGUGUCGGCUUAAGUGCCACAACGAGCGCAACCCUUGCCGAUAGUUACUAACAGGUCAUGCUGAGGACUCUGUCGGGACUGCCAUCGUAAGAUGUGAGGAAGGUGGGGAUGACGUCAAAUCAGCACGGCCCUUACGUCCGGGGCUACACACGUGUUACAAUGGGGGGUACAGAGGGCUGCUACCACGCAAGUGGAUGCCAAUCCCAAAAACCUCUCUCAGUUCGGAUUGAAGUCUGCAACCCGACUUCAUGAAGCUGGAUUCGCUAGUAAUCGCGCAUCAGCCACGGCGCGGUGAAUACGUUCCCGGGCCUUGUACACACCGCCCGUCAAGCCAUGGGAGCCGGGGGUACCUGAAGUGCGUAACCGCAAGGAGCGCCCUAGGGUAAAACUGGUGACUGGGGCUAAG